rnacentral:rRNA from 1 species
GUCUAUGGCCAUGCCACCCUGAACAAGCCCAAUGUCUGAUCUCGGAAGCUAAGCAGGGUCAGGUCUGGUUAAUAUUUGGAUGGGAGACCACUUUGGAAUACCAGAUGCUGUAGACG